CCAAAGUAGUGAGAAUCAAUAUGGCGUUGUAUUAGAAAAUAUGUGGUCCAAGUGAAUAUCUCGCAAUUAUUAGCAAAUCGCGAAGGUUGCAUCAACUUUUUUGCACUAUUAAUGAAAAAAAUCAAUGUGACCAUAGUUUUUGAAGAAAACGAUAACAGAAUACGCCAAUACAUCGCCGUAAAAUUCAUUUCAAGUGUAGCUCGAUUUGAAAGCAUCAGCAGCGACGAAGGCUUAAGGUACUGGAAUUUCCACAUCUAAAUAUCAUAUCACAGCACAAUCUGCGAUAGUGUGGCUUAGUUCGUGUGGCAAAUACAGCGAUAUCAUACUCGAUCUAUGGAUGUAUUGUGCUGAUUGAUGUACAACAAGCAUAACGAUGAGCGGACAGGAAAUCAGAUUCUGCAGAUUGUUGACUUGAACCAAGUGCACCACAGCAAAUAGAACAGGAAAAGAAAAGACAAAACGUAAAAAAAAGAAAGCAAACAUUGCGCAAAUUGAAAAUGUUGAAUUCACAGAGACGGAAGAAGGAACUUGUACUGUCAGUUCUCAUGGUAGUUCUUCCACGAAUACGACUGCUCACGAUAGUUCCACGAGUUUUACCCGAGCGGCA